AGGACGAACGCUGGCGGCGUGCUUAACACAUGCAAGUCGAGCGGAAAGGCCCUUCGGGGUACUCGAGCGGCGAACGGGUGAGUAACACGUGAGUAAUCUGCCCAUCGCUUCAGGAUAGCCAUCGGAAACGGUGAUUAAUACUGGAUAUGACAUUCCUUCGCAUGUUGGGGUGUGGUAAAGUUUUUCGGCGGUGGAUGUGCUCGCGGCCUAUCAGUCUUGGUGGUGGGGUAAUGGCCUACCGAAGGCUUUGACGGGUAGCCGGCCGUGAGAGGGUGACCCGGCCACACCUGGGACUGA
rnacentral:rRNA from 1 species